rnacentral:rRNA from 1 species
UACGGAGGGUGCAAGCGUUAUCCGGAUUCACUGGGUUAAAGGGUGCGUAGGUGGGCCGGUAAGUCCGUGGUGAAAUCUCUGAGCUUAACUCAGAAACUGCCGUGGAUACUAUCGGUCUUGAAUACCGUGGAGGUGAGCGGAAUAUGUCAUGUAGCGGUGAAAUGCUUAGAUAUGACAUAGAACACCAAUUGCGAAGGCAGCUCACUACACGCCUAUUGACACUGAGGCACGAAAGCGUGGGGAUCAAACAGG